AAUAUCUACAAAACCUAAUAAAGCUGUCAUUCUCACUUAGUGCAUUUCCCUUCCAGCCGCCAACCCCCCUUCCCCCUUUUGGCCAUUUUCUUCUUCAACAAUGUCUUUUCUCUUUACAUGAACAGAGCAAACCAAUUGAUCAAUCACCGCUUAGAUAGCCAGUCACCUUCUCUCUUUCCAGAUAUAUUUAUGGUACAUUUUAAUCUAUUGAAUGCAAGAAGAAUCAAGGAUUCAGCCUCGGUAUAAAGAGUGAAAUUACUUUAUCCUUGAUUGCAGAAGAUCAUCUGUUGACAAAAUCUGCAAUUCUAUAUCAAAUAGUUAGCACAUAGUUUUUUUUUCUUUUGAUGUGUAACCUUUCUGAAUUUUAUAGAUUAUAGUUAAAUUACCGCCUGCACAUAGUUUGCAUUUUACUCCUAUUAGUUGACUAUUAGUUGACAAGAAUGUGAGGUUGAGUUCUUCUUAUUAUCUUGUUGCGUAUUAGCUAGUCUUUGAAAGUGUGGAUAUUAUGUACUUUAGAUAGACAAUUGUAUAUUUUAGAAUUAAUUUUUAAAACUA